UCUCCCUUCUCUUCUUUUCCCCUACCUUCUCUCUCUCCUCUGAACUGCGCAUCGCUCCUGUUAGAGGCCGGGGACACCUCGGCACACGCCGCCUACCGGGAGACGCCGGUGCUGGACAGGGAUAGCCAGGCAGCCGUGCGCGUGCAAGGUCGGUUCGCGGCACUGCCUCGUCCAGCCCAAGCCGCUCAUCCGCGUUGCCGUGUUCGCUCAAGCCGUUGCGUCCCGUGGAGGAGGGAGCAGGCACAUGAACGCGGGCGCCGCUGGAGAUGUUGAUGAAAAGCAGAGGAAUUUCAUUCCGUUGAUGCUUCAGCAAUCCUUUUAUCUCAUCACGCCCACAUGCUCCGAUGAAGCAAUUCUCAACGGCGGUGGCUGGUUGACUUGUCUCAGGUCACAGUGAUUAAUGCCAAUUAGCCUGAUCGUGCAGUGAUGCCAGCUGGAUCACGCUGCCGUGCCUCCCUCUCUCCCUUC